ACCUUGUUUGACCAUUGAU
rnacentral:misc_RNA from 1 species